CUAGUUUCAGCUGGUCACAUGUGGACACCAACCUUGCCUGGCGCGGCGGCGGCCUCUGACGUCACGCCCAGCUGACAACAAAAGACUGUGUGGUGGAUUGGGCUGAGAGCGAGUGACUGGCCCAAAGUCACUGUUGGCUUUGAUGCCUAAAGGACGGACGGAAGGACUAGAACUUGCAAUUUUCUGAUUUCCAACCCAGCACCAUUCCCAGACCCUGCAUUAAACCAGCUCUUUAAUCUCACAGGACUUGAAAACUGCUCUGUCUUCCCUCAGUUGUCUUUCUGGAGGGUGCUUUGGAGAACAGCCCGACUCCCUCUUCUUUGUGGCAAUGGUAAUGGUUCUCCAGAACUGGUCAGAACCUGCUGAAACCGACCUCUGGUACAAGGAACAAGUUACGUGGACUUUUCUGCCAGCUCUUACUAGUUAGUAAAUGAGCACCAACUUCCAUCUGUUCUUUAGGAGCCAAUAUUAUUUUUUCAAAUAUGAUUGGUCCCUGACACCUACAGUAUUACACACAUCGUAACAUUAAAUGGUAAAGAUUGAACAAAAUAUCAGUGAAAAAUAUGUUGUCUUUCAGCUUCCCCAGAUUGAUCAAUGUGUAUUGAUACAGUGGCACAUUCUAAAAUGUCGAUUAAGCAUGUCAGUAGCGUGUGCAAACUUUCUAGCACAUCAGAAUCUUUCCCCACCCCCCAUAAUGCUAAACUGAGUGCAAGACUGGAGAAGGAGAAAGGGGGAGGGACCAGGGUGGCAGAUCUUUAAAGCCACAGCAUCUGUAUUUGAUCAAACUUUUAAGAUGGAAUGUGCAGCUAUGGAAUAGCAAGCCUUUUGAUAGCCAUGUCUAGCACUCUGCUUUAAAGGGACACCUCAAAUUAACAUCAGGAAUUUUUCCUCAGAAUAUUCAUUUGCAUAUGGAUUUCAGGGUAUUUAUCUGCCUACAAAGAGAAAAAUCAAGAGGAAAAGAUGUAUCACUCCCCUCCCUAUUAUGAGUCAGCAAGUGAAAAUGUAAUACUGUAGAUUAAAAGCAGACCUCAACUCUGAAGCCACCAAGUCUUUAGUAGAUUGGAACAGGCGGUUUAUGGACACUGUAGUGCAAAUGCCCAAAAGGGUUGCUUUAGGGUUUCCAAAUGAAACAUUGCCGAUUAAAAAUUCCAGGAGAUAUUAUGAACAAGUAUUAAGUCUGUGAUGAAUGAAAAGGAAAGUCUGGUUUAUGAAUGCAAGGCUCUUUUUGAGGCCUGCAACCCUGCCAGAAUAAAAUUGAUGUUAUAGCCCUCAGGGAGUUUCUAGGCACAGAACUAAUCACCUCAGUUAAAAAGAGACUGUCCCUCUCCCUUAGUUUCGAGUGUUGAAUUGCAGUUGUACUCUGAAGUAAAUUUAUACAGAAAUAAGUCCUACUGAACCACACAUGAUUUAUUCAAGAAAAAAAAUGUUUAGGAUUUGUAUGUAUAGGAUGAAAGUAUUGGACGCAAGCAGAAAUAUUCCAAGAUGUCAACAAGAUUGAAGCUUUUAAAGAUAUUUUAAAAAUGCAUUCUUGAUCGUAGAAAAACAAAUCUUUGUGGAACUUUUUCUCUGCUGAAGGGAAAACAUUUUAAAUGUUUUAAAACAUUUGUUCCUUCUUUUUUUUAGAUAACAUCUAACA